CUUUCACUUCCGGGUUAAGGGGCGCGGGGGCCAAUAUGGCUGGCGCCGCCCGGCCGCCUCCUUCCUACGAGGAGAAGAACCGAAGCCUGUGACCCGAAGCCAAGAGGAGAAGCCGUGGCUGUUGCAGACACGCCAGCGAGAGCCCUCGUUUUCUUGAGCCACUAAACCAAGACCUACAACCGCCUCCCUCUGAGCUUUUCAUUAGAAAUAGAUCCACAUACAUGGAAAGGCUCCUGUGAAAGGAAUACUAAUUGCCGCAUUGUUUGCCUCAGCAAGAGACUGGAAUCGCCAACAUGACUAUCACCAGGGGCUGGUUAGAUAAAUGAUUAUAUUCAGACAAUGGGAUAUGUGAAGAAUGCUCUCCUACUGCUGAUCUGGAAAGAUCUCCAAGGUACAGGAGCGCUGUUUGUCCUGCAGUCUUGCCAGCACAAGGUGUUAUCUGACUUGGAUUUUUGCCAAUCUGAUAGAACGUCCAUAGUGCUGAGAGCUGCAGUCAAGUGGUCACACGUGUUAGAAAUUGCAGUGGAUGGUGGGACUUCCAAGAAAGGCCUUUGGUGUCUUCUUCAUUUUCCUUGUAAUUGCAAACAUGGCUGGAGCACAAGUAGCCGUUUUGUGACCCCGAGGAAGAAAGUUCUGUGCUAAAGAUGGAAGGGAACGGAAUCCCCGACAACAUCAUGAAGGUACCCCCCCUGCCCCUUUGAAUGCUGAC